rnacentral:snRNA from 8 species
AUCGCUUUUUGGCCUUUUGGCUCAGAUCAAGUGUAGUAUUUGUUUUUAUCAGUUUAAUAUUUGAUACGUCCCCCAUCGGGGGACUACAUAUUAAAUGGAUUUUUUGAACAGGGAGUCGGAAAUGGGGCUUGCUCCGUCCGCUCCACGCAUCGACCCGGUAUUGCAGUACCUCCGGGAACGGUGCAACACUU